rnacentral:rRNA from 1 species
GACGAACGCUGGCGGCGUGCUUAACACAUGCAAGUCGAACGAGGCCUUCUCUUCGGAGGAGUGUUCUAGUGGCGAACGGGUGAGUAACACGUGGGCAACCUGCCCCCGGCUCUGGGAUAACUCCAAGAAAUUGGGGCUAAUACCGGAUGUGACCGCUGACCGCAUGGUCUGGUGGUGGAAAGGUUUUUCCGGCUGGGGAUGGGCCCGCGGCCUAUCAGCUUGUUGGUGGGGUAGUGGCCUACCAAGGCGACGACGGGUAGCCGGCCUGAGAGGGUGACCGGCCACACUGGGACUGAGACACGGCCCAGACUCCUACGGGAGGCAGCAGUGGGGAAUAUUGCGCAAUGGGCGGAAGCCUGACGCAGCGACGCCGCGUGGGGGAUGACGGCCUUCGGGUUGUAAACCUCUUUCAGCUUCGACGAAGCCGCGAGGUGACGGUAGGAGCAGAAGAAGCACCGGCCAACUACGUG